GUCAGGAUGGCCGAGUGGUCUAAGGCGCAAGGCUCUGUCUUUCCUGCAGGAGGCGUGGGUUCAAAUCCCACUCCUGACA